UUAUUUAUGUGAUAAGGCUGCAGCUAUUACAAUGUCAGAUGGUGAGGGCCACACAUUCAAGCACAUUGAAGUGCCCCAAGAUCAGUUGAAGGAAUCCAAUAACAAUUUCACAAGUUUAUAUUUGUCCUCAAAGAUAAAGGGAGGGAAUAAUGACACAAUUUUUAUGGGCUCUCCAUGUAGGGCUGAACAACACUCUUUAUAAAGAUGGAUACAGGCCUGAAGCGAGACAAGUCACCAAACACAUGAAGUAGAGAGCCUUUCCACCAAACAGACCAACAACAGUGUUCUGUUGUGUUUGAUUAAACAUUAUGGACACUUACCACGCUGCGCAUCGGUCCUCCGAUCCUUCUCGCUACUCCACCUCAGAAGAGGAGGGCGAGAUCCGUUACA